rnacentral:lncRNA from 1 species
GGAGGAACCGAAGGGAAACACCCCUUGAGGCUCCCUGUUCGGCUUGUCCCCUGCCCUUCUCACCCUUCCCCGUUGGCACGAGAGCGAGGCGGGACCUGGGCGUGCGCCUGCAUAGAACGGAGAGCCGAGGGCGGGACGAGCACUGCGCCUGCGCACGGGAAGGAGUCGCGUCUGCAGGACAUCUCCGCAGUAACGAACGCGAGGAGAGUAUAACGCGCUUGCGCGGAGGAAGGGGGUGUUCUGGGCAAUACAAUGCGCCUGCGUGGGCCGGCCGCGGCUGGUCGGUGGCGGUGGAGCCGGUGGGAGCUCCCCGUGGGCCGGUAACAGCGGACGGGGCGCCACAGCCAGUGACACAAUCUAAUCAAAGGGACGGUGAGAGGACAGCAGAACAAAACAUAAAGGUAAGAUAACAGGUGUUAUAAACAUUUUAUUCUAAAUUAAAAGUGUGCUGUAUGUUUUUGUCAGUGAAGGGAUGAUCUGUUGUAUUUGAUAGUAUUCAUUGCAUGGGCAGUCUGGUAAUGUUGCAGUUCAUUGUUUGCAGAAAUUCAAAAUGAGGUAGAAAAAGACACAGCUCUUAGGUGACAUUAUAUCCUAAAUCGUGCUGGUUCAGUAUCUGUUCUGAUGUCUGAAGAUAAGCCCAUAUCAUAGGGAACUCCUAAAUUGAAUUACUUUCUCUUGUUAAAGACAACAUACUUGUAUGGCUAAGUCCUAAAACUCCUGGGGACAUGCUACUCCAAACUCCCAUGAAGUCAGUGAGAAGUUGGAGCAUGCAAAGAAUGCAGGAUGAGGCCCUAGAUCAUAGGUAACCAAUUAUUUUUUGUCAAGGAGCAGACUCCAGAGAAAAUCCUACAAAAAUAAUAAGUAAAUAGAAAGAUUUUGCAGUGCGUUCAGAAGCAUCUGUUGGUCCAGAUUUGGCCUGCGGUCCUCCUAUUGACUACCCCUGCCCUAAAUGAAUCUCUGUGCUGGUGGCAAGUCCAGGCUUGACCUCGCUGUAGGCUGAAGUCACGCAACAGCACUGGCAGAAGCAGUACAGGCUUCCCCUUGCAGUGCUAACUACUACUGCGCCUUGAGCCUGCACUAGAGGGCCUACCUUUGUGGUGAGAAGGGGAGAGUUCAGUCCUUGUUUUCUCAGUUGAGACUGCCUGUAAGGGAGUCAGUUGUGAUGGUGAUUUUUGUGUGUAUAUGUGCUGUGCAAACCUGGAAACUGAAGCUAUCAAUUCCUUCAGUUCUAAAAUAAAAACUCAGAAAAAAUUAUAGUAUAGUAUGGC